ACCUCUGCAAUAGGCGAAAGCCUGACAGGGUUACUCUGAGUGAUGCCCGCUAAGGGUAUCUUUUGGCACCUCUAAAAAUGGUGCAGAAUAAGGGGUGGGCAAGUCUGGUGUCAGCCGCCGCGGUAAUACCAGCACCCCGAGUGGUGUGGACGUUUAUUGGGCCUAAAGCAUCCGUAGCUGGCUGAACAAGUCCCCUGUUAAACCCACCGAUUUAAUCGUUGGCUUGCGGGGGAUACUGCUCGGCUAGGGGACGAGAGAGGCAGACGGUAUUCCCGGGGUAGGGGUGAAAUCCUAUAAUCCCGAGAAGACCACCAGUGGCGAAGGCUGUCUGCUAGAACGCGCCCGACGGUGAGGGAUGAAAGCUGGGGGAGCGAACCGGAUUAGAUACCCGGGUAGUCCCAGCUGUAAACGAUGCAGGCUAGGUGUUUGGACGGCCACGUGCCGUUCUAGUGCCGCAGGGAAGCUGUUAAGCCUGCCGCCUGGGGAGUACGAUCGCAAGAUUGAAACUUAA
rnacentral:rRNA from 1 species